UGGGUUGGAAAGUUAGUAUUAGCAUAAGCUCAUGGGUACAGAGAGGGAUAAGUUCACAUGUCACUCACAUGUGUAUUGUGAUUUGUUCCUGAGCCUUUAGGGUUAGGGUUAGGAGCAGGUUCAGGUUUAGGGUCCCAAUUCAUGUACUUGCGGUUUGGAGUGUGGGGAAUAUUGUUAGGAUUGGGGCCCUUCUUUUUGGAAGGGUCAUGGAUAGUGCAGAAAUAGCGGUACUUGAGGAUGACUUAUUGUUCUGGUAGGGUUAGGGCUAGGGUUAGGGUUAGGGUCAGGGUGAUAGAUAGCAUUGAAAUUGAAAUGCCUGUGUCUUCCAGUGUGUGUUGCAAAGUUAGUAUUAGUGCAAGUUCGUGGGUACAGGGAGGGAUAAGGUCACAUGUCACUCACCUGUGUAUUGUGAUUCGUUCCUGAGCCUGUAGGGUUAGGGUUAGGGUUAGGAGUAGGUUCAGGUUUAGGGUGCCAAUUCAUGUACCUGACGUUUGGAGUGUGGGGAAGAUUGUUAGGAUUGGGGCCCUUCUUUUGGUAAGGGUCAUGGAUAGUGCAGAAAUAGCGGUACUUGAGGAUGACUUAUUGUUCUGGUAGGGUUAGGGCUAGGGUUAGGGUUAGGGUCAGGGUGAUAGAUAGCACUGAAAUUGAAAUGCCUGUGUCUUCCAGUGUGGGUUGGAAAGUUAGUAUAAGCAUAAGUUGGUGGGGACGGG
rnacentral:lncRNA from 1 species